rnacentral:rRNA from 1 species
UACGUAGGGUGCGAGCGUUAAUCGGAAUUACUGGGCGUAAAGCGUGCGCAGGCGGUUAUGUAAGACAGUUGUGAAAUCCCCGGGCUCAACCUGGGAAUUGCAUCUGUGACUGCAUAGCUAGAGUACGGUAGAGGGGGAUGGAAUUCCGCGUGUAGCAGUGAAAUGCGUAGAUAUGCGGAGGAACACCGAUGGCGAAGGCAAUCCCCUGGACCUGUACUGACGCUCAUGCACGAAAGCGUGGGGAGCAAACGAGGAUAGAA